rnacentral:rRNA from 1 species
UACGGAGGAUGCGAGCGUUAUCCGGAUUUAUUGGGUUUAAAGGGUGCGUAGGCUGCCGAGUAAGUCAGCGGUGAAAUUUUGCAGUUUAACUGUAACAGUGCCGUUGAUACUGCAUGGCUAGGAUUUGGUUGCUGUGGGUGGAAUGUGUGGUGUAGCGGUGAAAUGCUUAGAUAUCACACAGAAUAUCGAUUGCGAAGGCAGCUCACAAAGCCAAGAUUGACGCUGAGGCACGAAAGUGUGGGGAUCAAA